UACGGAGGGGACUAGCGUUGUUCGGAAUUACUGGGCGUAAAGCGCAUGUAGGCGGAUUUGUAAGUCAGGGGUGAAAUCCCGGGGCUCAACCUCGGAACUGCCUUUGAUACUGCAAAUCUCGAGUCCGGAAGAGGUGAGUGGAAUUCCUAGUGUAGAGGUGAAAUUCGUAGAUAUUAGGAAGAACACCAGUGGCGAAGGCGGCUCACUGGUCCGGUACUGACGCUGAGGUGCGAAAGCGUGGGGAGCAAACAGG
rnacentral:rRNA from 1 species